UUCCAAGCUACAAAAAGCCAACGGUGGAUGCCUUGGCGCCUAGCACCGAUGAAGGACGUGGGUGGCCACGAAAGGCCACGGGGAGCUGCCGACCAAGCUUUGAUCCGUGGAUGUCCGAAUGGGGAAACCCGG
rnacentral:rRNA from 1 species